rnacentral:tRNA from 1 species
GCCCCGGUAGCCCAAUUAGGCAGAUAGGCAAUCGACUCAAAAUCGAUCCAGUGUGGGUUCGAGUCCCACCCGGGGUACAA